rnacentral:rRNA from 1 species
CCUACGGGCGGCAGCAGUGGGGAAUAUUGCGCAAUGGGCGCAAGCCUGACGCAGCAACGCCGCGUGAAGGAAGAAGGCUUUCGGGUUGUAAACUUCUUUUCUCAGGGACGAAGCAAGUGACGGUACCUGAGGAAUAAGCCACGGCUAACUACGUGCCAGCAGCCGCGGUAAUACGUAGGUGGCAAGCGUUAUCCGGAUUUACUGGGAGCAAAGGGCGGGUAGGCGGGGACGCAAGUCUGAUGUGAAAACCACGGGCUCAACCUGUGGCCUGCAUUUGAAACUGUGUUUCUUGAGUACUGGAGAGGCAGACGGAAUUCCUGGUGUAGCGGUGAAAUGCGUAGAGAUUAGGAGGAACACCGGUGGCGAAGGCGGUCUGCUGGACAGCAACUGACGCUGAGGCGCGAAAGCGUGGGGAGCAAACAGGAUUAGAUACCCUAGUAGUC